CGGGAUGUAGUGUAACGGUAACAUGCACGCUUCGGGUGCGUGAGACUCCGGGUUCAAAUCCCGGCAUCCCGA
rnacentral:tRNA from 1 species